rnacentral:lncRNA from 1 species
UAUCCUAAACCCGGUCAAUCACUUCUCUACUCAUCUUAGACCGACAAAAGUAAAACCCUAUGUUUAUACCUUUGCCUUGAUAACUUUGCUCCUCGUCUAUCAUCAUGAUCUCCACAUCAUGCUUCAUUUCUUUGUAAUCAUGUGGCCACCUUUUCAUGCCACCAUGCACCUUCAUCACAUGUGUUGCUAUGCCUAACUCAAAUCACUUAAACACAAGGCAUUAGCAACUUGGUGUCAUUAAUUACCAAAACCAAACUUGGGCUUUCAGUUGUCCUAGGCUUAUAUCUGCCCCUGUGUGGAGAUAUCUGGGUUUUAGGCAUCCGAUGUCACAACUCGUUCGAAACCUUUUCAAUUUUUUUACCACAGCCUACAUAUGGAUAGCAUGACAUCUCGACAAGAUUUUUGAUUUUCGGACUUCAUAUAAAUUUUAUAUAAUUUAAAAAACACCUUUUCAGUAAGUCGCUCGUAUGCAAAGAAGAUGCGCAAACAUUGAUGCAAGUUCUUGGAUAGGGACUCAACAUACACCAAAUUUCAUGAAUAACAUUUUUUAAAACACUAUAUUAUAUUAUUCCAUGUACCUAAAGUUCAAAUUUGAAAUAUUCAAAAAAAUUAAUGAAACAAAAUAAAUUAAGAAAAUAUAAAUUAGUCCAAACUUUAAAAUUAAGUUUCAAAUAAUGUAUUUUACCCAAAAAAGAACUAGUCUAAAAAGACAAAAAAACUACCGACGACCUUACUUGUAGCCUUUGACAAAGAAUUUUUUAAAAAAACUAAAAAACAUUUGCCGAGGGCCCUGUGUGUCUGGCCCUCGGCAAAGAGCCCAACCCUAUAUGCCAAUCGUGCAGGCCAAAAAAAAGCCACAAACAACUUAUUCCUUCGACCCCCGCGCCCAGCCACCGCUCGCCGCGCCCAGCCGCCCGCGUGCACCUAGCUCCCCCGCCGCCGCUCGCCGCACCUGCAACAAUCGAUGCACCUGCAACAAGCAAUGGGCAACACACAUCUCUCUCUCUCCCUCUCUCUCUCUCUCUCUGCUUGUUUCCCUUCUUUAGAUCCAGCGGCUGCAGCUCGCUCUUCUCCCUGUCCAACACCAGCAC